rnacentral:rRNA from 1 species
ACAUGCAAUCGAACGAAGAGCGAUGAAGCUUGCUUCUAUCAAUCUAGUGGCGAACGGUGAGUAACGCGUAAUCAACCUGCCCUUCAGAGGGGGACAACAGUUGGAAACGACUGCUAAUACCGCAUACGAUCCUAAUCUCGGCAUCGAGGAAAGAUGAAAGGUGGCCUCUACAUGUAAGCUAUCACUGAAGGAGGGGAUUGCGUCUGAUUAGCUAGUUGGAGGGGUAACGGCCCACCAAGGCGAUGAUCAGUAGCCGGUCUGAGAGGAUGAACGGCCACAUUGGGACUGAGACACGGCCCAGACCCUACGGGAGGCAGCAGUGGGGAAUCUUCCGCAAUGGACGAAAGUCUGACGGAGCAACGCCGCGUGAGUGAUGACCGGCUUCGGGUUGUAAAGCUCUGUUAAUCGGGACGAAAGGCCUUCUUGCAAAUAGUGAGAAG